rnacentral:piRNA from 1 species
GAAAGCAGUGUAAUUAUGGCAGG